rnacentral:rRNA from 1 species
AUGGCCGCGUGUAAUUUAAGUGCGAUGAUCACUGUUGAUACAACAACGUAUUCAUCUAGUACUGAAUAUGCUACAGAUAUUUUUCAAGAUGAAGAUGGAUUUGUAGGCAUCACAUCUAAGCGUGACACAGUUGUACAAAUAAUGAGCAAGUAUGGAGUUAUGUUUCUAUAUUCCCCUAAAUCAGGACGUGAAGGAGCACACAUGCAUGGGUGUGGGUCCAGCCAAAAGUCAAUUAGAAGCCAUCAAGUUGUGUACUACGUGGAUGUGCAAGAGUUUAAUUCCUUCUCAAAGGGAAUAAAUCAUGUUAGUUAUUUCUUUGGACGGUUACAGCCACCUGAACGACCAAAAGUUACACGAAGAUGGAAGUUUAUCACGUGGAAGAUCAUGAGUUUAAAUGAGUCUGGGUGGGGGCCGCCAUGUUGGAAAAAAUAG